UUGGUGUGAAUUGCAGAAUCCCGUGAAUCAUCGAGUUUUUGAACGCAAGUUGCGCCCGAAGCCAUUAGGCCGAGGGCACGCCUGCCUGGGCGUCACGC
rnacentral:rRNA from 1 species